CCGGGCUCUUUCCACUGAGCCACGCUGCUUCUCUGAAAAGGGGCUCCUGAAAGGGCCACGGCUAAAUCCUAAGGAAAAUGAUGAGCACGAGAGAGAAAAUAGGCAGUAAAAGUAGUGCGUUAAAUCCUUUAGGCCGCUGGAGCACCGUUGAACACCCUAGGCAUUAUUCACAUUUUGCUUUUGCUUUGUUCUGUUAAAUUCGUAUACCUAAAACCCAAGGUUUACAAAACCGUCGCCCUCGGCCUAUGUCAUUCCCUGCUCUCUGUGCCAUCUGGUUCUCUAUUCUCUGAGGUACUGCUAUUCACCCCUGAAUUAUUUCCCCCACUCUUCCCUUUUAGAGAAACUCUAGAAACCAGAUGAGAGUCCAGGUAUCCCAGUCACAGAGAAGGUCGGACGCCACAGUUUCACGGGAGGCGUUCGGUUCAGUCUGAAUCCAGAAGCCAUAAUGGCGGUGCAGUCUAACCUGCCGGGCCGUCAGAGGAUGUAUUAGCCGUACUGAGUCGGUUUUUCUACCUCCUUAUCUCUCCUCGAAUCGUUGUUCUUCGUAAAUAGCGAACCUGGAACGCACCGAUCCCUGAAUUACGACGCUUCAGCAUCCCAGAGUUGGCAAGCGCUACGGCCCGGGAAGUCACGGUGGCAGCAGGUCUUGGCUCAGGGUGUCCAACUCCCAAGGUGCCAGUCCCGGGGCCCCGAAUUGCACCGUGAACGUAACUGGCGGUCACCAUUCCGACUUCAAUCUACGGCCCCGGAUGGCAGGGGGUCCCCGGCACCGGCGUGCCCACCCGCGGCCUCUCUCGUCCCGACGACGGCUGGGAGUUUGACCCUUCUCUUU